GUGCCAGCCGCCGCGGUAAUACGGAGGGUGCAAGCGUUGUUCGGAAUUAUUGGGCGUAAAGAGCGUGUAGGCGGUUGGUUAAGUCGAAUGUGAGAGCCCUGGGCUCAACCCAGGAAGUGCAUUGGAAACUAGCUAACUUGAGUACGGGAGAGGAAAGUGGAAUUUCGAGUGUAGGGGUGAAAUCCGUAGAUAUUCGAAGGAACACCAGUGGCGAAGGCGGCUUUCUGGACCGAUACUGACGCUGAGACGCGAAAGCGUGGGGAGCAAACAGGAUUAGAAACCCUGGUAGUCC
rnacentral:rRNA from 1 species